rnacentral:rRNA from 1 species
UUAAGCGACUAAGCGUACACGGUGGAUGCCCUGGCAGUCAGAGGCGAUGAAGGACGUGCUAAUCUGCGAUAAGCGUCGGUAAGGUGAUAUGAACCGUUAUAACCGGCGAUUUCCGAAUGGGGAAACCCAGUGUGUUUCGACACACUAUCAUUAACUGAAUCCAUAGGUUAAUGAGGCGAACCGGGGGAACUGAAACAUCUAAGUACCCCGAGGAAAAGAAAUCAACCGAGAUUCCCCCAGUAGCGGCGAGCGAACGGGGAGCAGCCCAGAGCCUGAAUCAGUGUGUGUGUUAGUGGAAGCGUCUGGAAAGGCGCGCGAUACAGGGUGACAGCCCCGUACACAAAAAUGCACAUGCUGUGAGCUCGAUGAGUAGGGCGGGACACGUGGUAUCCUGUCUGAAUAUGGGGGGACCAUCCUCCAAGGCUAAAUACUCCUGACUGACCGAUAGUGAACCAGUACCGUGAGGGAAAGGCGAAAAGAACCCCGGCGAGGGGAGUGAAAAAGAACCUGAAACCGUGUACGUACAAGCAGUGGGAGCACGCUUCGGCGUGUGACUGCGUACCUUUUGUAUAAUGGGUCAGCGACUUAUAUUCUGUAGCAAGGUUAACCGAAUAGGGGAGCCGAAGGGAAACCGAGUCUUAACUGGGCGUUAAGUUGCAGGGUAUAGACCCGAAACCCGGUGAUCUAGCCAUGGGCAGGUUGAAGGUUGGGUAACACUAACUGGAGGACCGAACCGACUAAUGUUGAAAAAUUAGCGGAUGACUUGUGGCUGGGGGUGAAAGGCCAAUCAAACCGGGAGAUAGCUGGUUCUCCCCGAAAGCUAUUUAGGUAGCGCCUCGUGAAUUCAUCUCCGGGGGUAGAGCACUGUUUCGGCAAGGGGGUCAUCCCGACUUACCAACCCGAUGCAAACUGCGAAUACCGGAGAAUGUUAUCACGGGAGACACACGGCGGGUGCUAACGUCCGUCGUGAAGAGGGAAACAACCCAGACCGCCAGCUAAGGUCCCAAAGUCAUGGUUAAGUGGGAAACGAUGUGGGAAGGCCCAGACAGCCAGGAUGUUGGCUUAGAAGCAGCCAUCAUUUAAAGAAAGCGUAAUAGCUCACUGGUCGAGUCGGCCUGCGCGGAAGAUGUAACGGGGCUAAACCAUGCACCGAAGCUGCGGCAGCGACACUGUGUGUUGUUGGGUAGGGGAGCGUUCUGUAAGCCUGUGAAGGUGUACUGUGAGGUAUGCUGGAGGUAUCAGAAGUGCGAAUGCUGACAUAAGUAACGAUAAAGCGGGUGAAAAGCCCGCUCGCCGGAAGACCAAGGGUUCCUGUCCAACGUUAAUCGGGGCAGGGUGAGUCGACCCCUAAGGCGAGGCCGAAAGGCGUAGUCGAUGGGAAACAGGUUAAUAUUCCUGUACUUGGUGUUACUGCGAAGGGGGGACGGAGAAGGCUAUGUUGGCCGGGCGACGGUUGUCCCGGUUUAAGCGUGUAGGCUGGUUUUCCAGGCAAAUCCGGAAAAUCAAGGCUGAGGCGUGAUGACGAGGCACUACGGUGCUGAAGCAACAAAUGCCCUGCUUCCAGGAAAAGCCUCUAAGCAUCAGGUAACAUCAAAUCGUACCCCAAACCGACACAGGUGGUCAGGUAGAGAAUACCAAGGCGCUUGAGAGAACUCGGGUGAAGGAACUAGGCAAAAUGGUGCCGUAACUUCGGGAGAAGGCACGCUGAUAUGUAGGUGAAGCGACUUGCUCGUGGAGCUGAAAUCAGUCGAAGAUACCAGCUGGCUGCAACUGUUUAUUAAAAACACAGCACUGUGCAAACACGAAAGUGGACGUAUACGGUGUGACGCCUGCCCGGUGCCGGAAGGUUAAUUGAUGGGGUUAGCGCAAGCGAAGCUCUUGAUCGAAGCCCCGGUAAACGGCGGCCGUAACUAUAACGGUCCUAAGGUAGCGAAAUUCCUUGUCGGGUAAGUUCCGACCUGCACGAAUGGCGUAAUGAUGGCCAGGCUGUCUCCACCCGAGACUCAGUGAAAUUGAACUCGCUGUGAAGAUGCAGUGUACCCGCGGCAAGACGGAAAGACCCCGUGAACCUUUACUAUAGCUUGACACUGAACAUUGAGCCUUGAUGUGUAGGAUAGGUGGGAGGCUUUGAAGUGUGGACGCCAGUCUGCAUGGAGCCGACCUUGAAAUACCACCCUUUAAUGUUUGAUGUUCUAACGUUGACCCGUAAUCCGGGUUGCGGACAGUGUCUGGUGGGUAGUUUGACUGGGGCGGUCUCCUCCUAAAGAGUAACGGAGGAGCACGAAGGUUGGCUAAUCCUGGUCGGACAUCAGGAGGUUAGUGCAAUGGCAUAAGCCAGCUUGACUGCGAGCGUGACGGCGCGAGCAGGUGCGAAAGCAGGUCAUAGUGAUCCGGUGGUUCUGAAUGGAAGGGCCAUCGCUCAACGGAUAAAAGGUACUCCGGGGAUAACAGGCUGAUACCGCCCAAGAGUUCAUAUCGACGGCGGUGUUUGGCACCUCGAUGUCGGCUCAUCACAUCCUGGGGCUGAAGUAGGUCCCAAGGGUAUGGCUGUUCGCCAUUUAAAGUGGUACGCGAGCUGGGUUUAGAACGUCGUGAGACAGUUCGGUCCCUAUCUGCCGUGGGCGCUGGAGAACUGAGGGGGGCUGCUCCUAGUACGAGAGGACCGGAGUGGACGCAUCACUGGUGUUCGGGUUGUCAUGCCAAUGGCACUGCCCGGUAGCUAAAUGCGGAAGAGAUAAGUGCUGAAAGCAUCUAAGCACGAAACUUGCCCCGAGAUGAGUUCUCCCUGACUCCUUGAGAGUCCUGAAGGAACGUUGAAGACGACGACGUUGAUAGGCCGGGUGUGUAAGCGCAGCGAUGCGUUGAGCUAACCGGUACUAAUGAACCGUGAGGCUUAACCUU